UACGGAGGAUCCAAGCGUUAUCCGGAUUUAUUGGGUUUAAAGGGUGCGUAGGCGGCUUAUUAAGUCAGGGGUGAAAGACGGUGGCUCAACCAUCGCAGUGCCUUUGAUACUGAUGAGCUUGAAUACACUUGAGGUAGGCGGAAUGUGACAAGUAGCGGUGAAAUGCAUAGAUAUGUCACAGAACACCAAUUGCGAAGGCAGCUUACUAAGGUGCAAUUGACGCUGAGGCACGAAAAGCGUGGGGAUCAAACAGG
rnacentral:rRNA from 1 species